AUUGAACGCUGGCGGCGUGCCUAACACAUGCAAGUCGAGCGGUAACAGGUGUAGCAAUACAUGCUGACGAGCGGCGGACGGGUGAGCAAUAUUUGGGAAUCUGCCUAUUAGUGGGGGGAUAACCCGGGGAAACUCGGGCUAAUACCGCAUACGCUCUACGGAGGAAAGCCGGGGACCGCAAGGCCUGGCGCUAGUAGAUGAGCCCAAAUCGGAUUAGCUAGUUGGUGAGGAACGGCUCACCAAGGCGACGAUCCGUAGCUGGUUUGAGAGAACGACCAGCCACACCGGAACUGAGACACGGUCCGGACUCCUACGGGAGGCAGCAGUGGGGGAAUCUUGCGCAAUGGUCUAACGACUGACGCAGC
rnacentral:rRNA from 1 species